GGAUAUUUGGUACUGCGUCAAAAGUCGCGAUAAACUGAAAUGCAGCAGGCGUUUUCUGCUUAAAAGCGUUCUUCAGGAGGUGUCAUAUGUUGGUUGAACUUAUAACUGUGUUCGCCGAUUCGAAUCCUGGAAUGUUAUCGCUUGCUGUAGCGCAUGCAGCCGACUGGCUUACUGUACCUCGAUGUUCUUCACGCCGGCAGUUGGCGACUGUCAGCUGCACAAGACAACAAUUAAUCGACGUCAGCACGUCCCGGGAAGGAAAGGAAGUGACGUCAUUAAGCGAGGCCUAUGUGCGUCCAUCGUUCAAAUGCAGUACUCUGACGUCAGAAUGGAGCUUUGUCAAAGUUUCCCCUAACGACACGUUUUACUUCAGAAAAUGAAAGUUCCAUGGAAGUCUAUCCUGACGUCACUUCCCGUGACUGCGAUGUGCCUGUGUUACUCCGUUAGUUAGUGGGUCCGUGAUCUCUUGUUGACCAACGGGCUCCUGUAUUUGAGCAAGGUCGGGUUUAAUGUUGC